UGCCAGCAGCCGCGGUAAUACGGAGGGUGCAAGCGUUAAUCGGAUUUAUUGGGCGUAAAGAGCAUGUAGGCGGAUUGGAAAGUUAGGUGUGAAAGCCCGGGGCUCAACCCCGGACCUGCAUCUAAAACUUCCAGUCUGGAGGAUGGACGGAGAAAGGGGAAUUCCACGUGUAGCGGUGAAAUGCGUAGAUAUGUGGAAGAACACCAGUGGCGAAGGCGCCUUUCUAGUUUAUUCCUGACGCUGAGAUGCGAAAGCAAGGGGAGCAAACAGGAUUAGAUA
rnacentral:rRNA from 1 species